UGAGUUCAUUACGCAACUAAUGCAUUUAUAAAAUUUUUUUACCAAAGUGAUGUAUCUUUGAACUUAUUUAUCAAACUAAUGCAAAAAGUAAAAGUAUCAUUUGGAAUGGUAUUUUCUGUCUAAGAAAAUAUCAUUCCACAUGGUGUUUUCUGCCCAACCAGCCCACCCCUCUCAUAGCUUACGUGGAAGUCGAAAAAAAAGAUUUAUAAGUGCC
rnacentral:lncRNA from 1 species